rnacentral:rRNA from 1 species
GGAAGUAAAAGUCGUAACAAGGUUUCCGUAGGUGAACCUGCGGAAGGAUCAUUAGUGAAAAACCUGGGCUGCGCUCUUGUGCGCCCAUCUUUAACCUAUUCCUUUAACCCCACACCUGUGUUUUGGUCGGGCGAGGUUCGGACGGGUGCUGCCUCUCGGGGCGAUCCCUGCCGUGCGCCUCUCUUGGCCGGACGCAAGCUCUUUUAUCAUUACCAAAAAAACACCAGUCGAUUGUAUGUUCGAAACACUAUAAAAACACAAUAAAACUUUCAACAACGGAUCUCUUGGUUCUCGCAUCGAUGAAGAACGCAGCGAAUUGCGAUAAGUAAUGUGAAUUGCAGAAUUCAGUGAAUCAUCGAAUCUUUGAACGCACCUUGCGCUCCUUGGUAUUCCGAGGAGCAUGCCUGUUUGAGUGUCAUGAAACUCUCUCAACCGGCCGUCCUUUCUUUGUUGGAAGGCGUCCGGCUUGGACUUGGAUGUGUGCUGGCCCGGAUUGAGUUCUCGGGUCGGCUCGUCUGAAAACGAUCAGUGGGUGUGUUGCGUCUUGUUCCGGAAGGGACGGCGGGAGCCUUGACAUGAUAAGAAAUUGUCGUCGAGCGUGCCUGCCGUGCUGGGGCAAAGAAGGACGUGGCCGGGACCUGCUUCGAACGGAGACGUGUUGGGGGGAGGGGUGCGGGGGGCCUGUCUGGGCUCGUCGCUCGCCUUUCUCUGGCACUGUCUAAACUUUUUUAUGAUCGGGCCUCAAAUCAGGUAGGACUACCCCGCUGAAGCAUAUCAAUAAGCGGAGGA